rnacentral:rRNA from 1 species
GAUGAACGCUGACAGAAUGCUUAACACAUGCAAGUCGAUUCGAUUUACCUUCGGGUAUUGAGGAUGGCGGACGGGUGAGUAACGCGUAAGGAACUUGCCUCUUGGUCUGGGACAACUGUUGGGAAACGACAGCUAAUACCGGAUAUUAUGAGAUUCUCGCAUGGGAAACUUAUGAAAGCUAGUAUGCGGCCAAGAGAGAGCCUUGCGUUCCAUUAGCUAGUUGGUGGGGUAAUGGGCCACCAAGGCGACGAUGGAUAGCCGGCCUGAGAGGGUGAACGGCCACAAGGGGGACUGAGACACGGCCCUUACUCCUACGGGAGCAGCAGUGGGAAUAGUUGGACAAUGGGCCACGAAGUCCUGAUCCGAGCAAUUCUGUGUGCACGAUGAAGGUCUUCGGAUCGUAAAGUGCUUUCGAGUU